CAGAGGUGGCCAAGCGUUGUUCGGAAUUACUGGGCGUAAAGGGCGCGUAGGCGGCCAUCUAAGUCAGACGUGAAAUCCCCCGGCUUAACCUGGGAACUGCGUCUGAUACUGGAAGGCUUGAGUUUGGGAGAGGGAUGUAGAAUUCCAGGUGUAGCGGUGAAAUGCGUAGAUAUCUGGAGGAAUACCGGUGGCGAAGGCGGCAUCCUGGACCAACACUGACGCUGAGGCGCGAAAGCUAGGGGAGCAAACGGGAUUAGAUACCCCGGUAGUCCUAGCCCUAAACGAUGAAUGCUUGGUGUGGCGGGUAUCGAUCCCUGCCGUGCCGAAGCUAACGCAUUAAGCAUUCCGCCUGGGGAGUACGGUCACAAGGCUG
rnacentral:rRNA from 1 species